rnacentral:tRNA from 1 species
GGAGGGGUUACCGAGUUUGGUCAAUUUGAUCAUAUUAUAUAAGGCCUUGAUUUCUGCCUUGAAUGGGUCAAGACUAUAGGUGCUGGACUUAAGAUCCAGUGGCAAAGGCCUUCGAGAGUUCGAAUCUUGCUCAACCGUUUCGGGAGUUGCAAAAAUCUCUCCCCCUCCA